rnacentral:rRNA from 1 species
GGUGCAUGGUUGUCGUCAGCUCGUGUCGUGAGAUGUUGGGUUAAGUCCGCAACGAGCGCAACCCUCGACCUUAGUUGCCAGCAUUCAGUUGGGCACUCUAAGGUGACUGCCGGCUAAAAGUCGGAGGAAGGUGGGGAUGACGUCAAAUCAUCAUGCCCCUUAUGACCUGGGCUACACACGUGCUACAAUGGGCGGUACAAAGGGUCGCGAACCCGCGAGGGGGAGCCAAUCCCAAAAAAGCCGCUCUCAGUUCGGAUUGCAGGCUGCAACUCGCCUGCAUGAAGCCGGAAUCGCUAGUAAUCGCGGAUCAGCAUGCCGCGGUGAAUACGUUCCCGGGCCUU